rnacentral:rRNA from 1 species
GACUAACGCUGGCGGCGUGCCUAACACAUGCAAGUCGUACGAGAAAGUUGGCUUCGGCCGAUGAGUAAAGUGGCGCACGGGUGAGUAAUGCGUGGAUAAUCUGCCCUUUAGUUGGGAAUAACGUACCGAAAGGUGCGCUAAUACCUGAUAAUACUGCAUAACUACUGUUGUGUAGUCAAAGAAGGCCUCUGUUUACAAGCUUUUGCUGAAGGAUGAGUCCGCGUACCAUUAGCUGGUUGGUGGGGUAAUGGCCUACCAAGGCUACGAUGGUUAGCUGGUCUGAGAGGAUGAUCAGCCACACUGGAACUGAGACACGGUCCAGACUCCUACGGGAGGCAGCAGUGAGGAAUAUUGCGCAAUGGGGGCAACCCUGACGCAGCAACGCCGCGUGAGUGAGGAAGGUUUUCGGACCGUAAAGCUCUGUCGAGCGGGAAGAAAUGUAUCAUGGCUAAUAUCCAUGAUACUUGACGGUACCGCUAAAGGAAGCACC